rnacentral:rRNA from 1 species
GAAAAGCCACUAAGCUUCAGCUGUAGAAGAACCGUACCGCAAACCGACACAGGUAGGCAGGGUGAGAAUCCCAAGGCGCUUGAGAGAACUCGGGUGAAGGAACUAGGCAAAAUGGCACCGUAACUUCGGGAGAAGGUGCGCCUCUUGGUGUGGUCACGUGCGUGACUGAGCAUCGAGGGGUCGCAGUAACCUGGCCGCUGCGACUGUUUAUCAAAAACACAGCACUCUGCAAACACGAAAGUGGACGUAUAGGGUGUGACGCCUGCCCGGUGCUGGAAGGUUAAUUGAUGGGGUCAGCCGCAAGGCGAAGCUCUUGAUCGAAGCCCCAGUAAACGGCGGCCGUAACUAUAACGGUCCUAAGGUAGCGAAAUUCCUUGUCGGGUAAGCUCCGACCUGCACGAAUGGCGUAACGACAGCGGCGCUGUCUCCACCCGAGACUCAGUGAAAUUGAAAUCGCUGUGAAGAUGCAGCGUUCCCGCGGCAAGACGGAAAGACCCCGUGAACCUUUACUAUAGCUUUACACUGAACGUUGAGUUCUUCUGUGUAGGAUAGGUGGGAGGCUAUGAAACCAGGACGCUAGUUCUGGUGGAGCCAUCCUUGAAAUACCACCCUGAAGUGCUUGACGUUCUAACCUAGGUCCGUAAUCCGGAUCGGGGACCGUGUAUGGUGGGUAGUUUGACUGGGGCGGUCUCCUCCCAAAGAGUAACGGAGGAGCACGUAGGUACGCUCAGCGCGGUCGGACAUCGCGCACUGUGUGCAAAGGCAUAAGCGUGCUUGACUGCGAGAUCGACGGAUCAAGCAGGUACGAAAGUAGGUCUUAGUGAUCCGGUGGUUCUGUAUGGAAGGGCCAUCGCUCAACGGAUAAAAGGUACUCCGGGGAUAACAGGCUGAUACCGCCCAAGAGUUCAUAUCGACGGCGGUGUUUGGCACCUCGAUGUCGGCUCAUCACAUCCUGGGGCUGUAGCCGGUCCCAAGGGUAUGGCUGUUCGCCAUUUAAAGUGGUACGCGAGCUGGGUUCAGAACGUCGUGAGACAGUUCGGUCCCUAUCUGUCGUGGGCGUUGGAGAUUUGAGGGGGGCUGCUCCUAGUACGAGAGGACCGGAGUGGACGUUCCGCUGGUGUUCGGGUUGUCAUGCCCAUGGCAUUGCCCGGUAGCUACGAACGGAAGUGAUAACCGCUGAAAGCAUCUAAGCGGGAAGCACGCCCCAAGAUGAGAUCUCCCGAGAGCUUGACUCUCCUAAAGGCACCAUCAAGACUAGGUGGUUGAUAGGCACGGUGUGGAAGUGCGGCAAUGCAUUGAGCUUACGUGUACUAAUGAGCCGUGAGGCUUGAUCAA